AUGGUCUUCCAAGAACCUAAGCAAUGGUACAAAUGGCUGUCAUUUGCAGAAUGGUGGUACAACACUUCUUUUCACUCUGGAAUCAAACAGUCACCAUUCGAAGCGUUAUACAACUACCCACCCCCUAUGAUUGGCGAGUUUGUUCUGUCAGAUACAUUCAGUCCAGCAGUUCAGUUAACAGUUACUAAAAAGCAACAGUUACUGCACAAGCUGAAAGAAAAUCUCCAAGCUGCUCAAGAAUGCAUGAAAAUGCAAGCUGACAAGUUAAGGACAGAAAGACAAUUGAAGGAAGGAGCAAUGGUAUAUAUCAGAAUCCAACCUUAUCGCCAGCAUCCAUUUGGGUUAAGGGGAUCACUGAAACUGUGA
rnacentral:rRNA from 1 species